AAGAGGGUAAAUCUGGUUCAUGUUACACUUUCCAUAUUGGCUAGAAGUAGAUAUCUCCCAGAUAGAUAUUUAAAGGCCAACAUUUAUUGAGAACUAUGUUCCAGACAUGGUGCAAGGUACAAUACAAUAUCUUAGUUAAUCCUCUAAAACCAAACAGAGAAACCAAAAAUUGAAGAGCAAAUAACAAAAAAUAGAGCUAAGAAAAGGUACUAUUACAAUUCCCAUCUUAUAAAUGAGAAAAUCAGGAUAUAGAGAGAUUAAGUAGUUUCUUCAAGGUCUAAUGAGGCUAAUAUAUGGUGGAAUUGGGAUUUGCUUCCAGGUGCGUUUGCUGCCAAAGGCAUGUUCUUAACCAGCAUAUUCCCACACCUGCUACAUCUAUCUCUUGCUGCUUAAAGGAAACUGGGAACAAUGAUUUGCUUUGUUUUAUGCCCAGUAUUGUAGAGUUUACCCUCUGCAAAAAAUUCAUUCUUAACUCUUCAUCUUCCCUCCAAGGAGUGCCAGAUGGUGAGCUCUACAGGCUUCACGAUAUUAGCGACUGAUUUCAGAUUUUCCUUUCUUACAGAAUAUCAGUUUAUUUGGGAUCCUGCCUUUUUUCUUUUCUUUUCUUUUCUUUUUUUGAGAUGGAUUCUCACUCUGUCACCCAGGCUGGAGGGCAGUGGAGCCAUUUCGGCUCACUGCAACCUCCGCACCCCUCCUCCUGCCUCACCCCCGCACCGGGUUCAAGCAAUUCUCAUGUCUCAGCCACCCUAGUAGCUGGGCUUAUAGGUGCCUUCCACCAUGCGUGGCUAAUUGUUUUUCAUUUUUAGUAGAGACAGAAUUUUGCCAUGUUGGCCAGGCUGGUUUUCAGCUCCUAACCUCAAGUGAUCCACCUGCCUCAGCCUCCCAAAGUGCUGGGAUUACAGGUGCGAGCCCGGCCAAGAUCCUGACUUUUUACUGCUGCAUACAAUUAGGCAAAUUUAGGUUAAGCGUUUAUAAAAUUAUAAAUUUGCAUCAGAAAUAUACUAACUUUGGUCAAAUGAUUACAACUUCUUCGAAAUAAGGAGAGAAAAACAUAAACAAUAGCUGUCUUUGAGAGCUAUGUGAGGAUGUCCCUAAAGUUUGAAUGGAAGGAAAAAUGAAGCCCAAAUUUUAAGUUGGCUUGCAACUUUUAUGUAAGAACUGGCAUGAAGGUUUCUCUAUUGAGAGAUCUACUGAUGAAGGUGUUUACAGUGGUUCCAAGAAUCUUCAUUAAAAUCCACAGAAUGAAAAGACACUCAUGCAACAAUUGGAAAGACACUCAAGCCAACAAAACUGAAACAAAAAUAGACACAAGCAUAUUACGUAUCUCUUGAGGGGAAUAUUAACACAUAAUUUGGCGGGGGUAGGGGUGAUUCCUGGGCAACUUUGAGUGUGUUAUAAUUCUGAAGUUCCCAACAAAUGAAACGAAUAAGAUUUUGGCUGUGUUCUAUCAGUGGUGGAGACUCAUGAGCUUUAAUCUAGUACUUAUAAAUAAAUCUUAAACUCUCAGUAUUAGGAUUUCAACUUGUUUCCCAGUAUCCUUUUUCUCUUUUUCAUACUGAAUUCUAAUCAUACAAUUAAAACCUGUUUAUUGUUCAAAAGUGGGAAACAUUAAUAAGUAGAAAGAAAAACAUAAUCUACAAUUUUACUACUAAUUAAUAAGCACAAUGGACAUGUAAGUGACUAUCUUGAUGGUCUUUGCCUUCCCUCUGGAUAAAAUAAAAGUAUGUGUCUUUGUGUGUAUAUGAUGUGGGGGGGUGUGUGUAAUUUAUAAUUCUAGAAUAGUUUAUAAUGCCAUGAGGCUGAGAUCUCUAAAGUAUUUGAGAUCAUGGCACAAGGUGGGGAAAGGCUUAAUACCUUAGUUGAAAUCUGGGUUGCAGGCGUCCCUGCCAAAGCAUGAUACGCUCUUAUAAACUGGCUUUUCUUCUCUAUCUAAAUCUCCCGAAAUUUUGACAUUUGAGACAUCCCCAGAGAUGAGAUGCCUGGACCUGUGAUUGGAGAGAGUGAUCCUUUGCAUGACAGUCCCAAUGGUGACUCAGGCUUCAGGCCUAGGCUGGAAACAAUAACAUUUCCCAGACCCACAGCUGUGCAGGUUACAAUCCCUAGAGGCUUCUGGCCAUGGUGAUUAUAGAGAACAGUUCACUCUCGAUGAAUCACGUGAGUACUAGAAAGGCUAGAUUUUUCAUUUAUUGAGAAUAGUCUUUUAAAGGAGCCUAGCUAGAGGCAGUUAGCAGAAGAGAAGGGUUUACAUUACAUAGUUUAAUGCCAUUCAGCUAAUUCACAGACCAUUGAAGUGUUUUCUGUUUUUGUUUUUUUUGCAUGUGGUAUAUACUUAGCUGCAUGCUAAGAGAAAUCAACUCUGAUUGAUUUAAGCAAAAUAGAACAUUGUCAAAAGGCAAUUCUGGCAAGGUGAAAGAAUGAAGCUUAGAAAGUAGGUAGCAGUGAUACUAGGCAGGUAGAGAAUGUUAGCAAAACCAUGCCCCAGAAAUGAUAUGCUGAGAACCCAGCUGUUUGUCGUGUCUCUGCAUCAAAGGCCAAGCCUCCCUCCCCAACAAUUACAGGGUCUGUGGCAAGAGCACAAUGGAGGCACAAUAUCAUGUGUUUAAAUAUUUAAAAGUUACAAAUAAAUUGUACAUCAGAUGAACAAUCUGUUAAAUCAAAUGUCAUAUCCUCUUUGCUGAAUAUACUUUCAUAAUAAGCUGAAAGAUCAAGUUCAAACAGAGAAUUUUUGACUCCUUAGUGAAUACUAAGGAUAAAUCCAGCCCCUUGCCCUGCUCCCUAGCCCCGAGCACAUCCUCUUUCUUGCUACUUCAACUUGAAUGUAGAAGCAUCAUCUACAUCUCCUGCAGAGGUCACCUCUUGACCUCCCUUUGGGUCUAGAGGUGUGAAUGGUCUGCUCCCAGGGGGAUAAACACAGGGAAGAAGAUUACAUAGGUCCUGGAAGUGAUCCCAAGGCUCAUCUGCGCAGGGAAUUCACAGUACUUGGUUACCAAAAGUGUAGUCAAGAAGUGGUCAUGAAGUUCAGGCUCUGAGUAGGCACGUCCUGUUGGACUUGUAGACUCCUGGCUCCAUGGGGAGGAACUCAGGCAGGAGGGCCAGGCAGGCCUCCCUAAUUUGGGGUCUCUCUCUUGCCUGAAUCUAAGGACAGUGCUGCCAAUGCCAGAUCUGCUGGUGCUGCUCUGUGAACUGGAUAUGGCUGCCCAUCAACCACAGCAUGACUUUUCCCCUGAGCCCGCUCCAGCAACCCAGCUGGAGUGUGUUAAUGGCUGAGCCAAGACUUUGCACCCAGCUUUAGCCCACAGUGGGUAAGAUGGAGGUGGAGAGCUGUGGAAAACAGAAUAUGGUCAAAAAAUGGCAAAUGCCUACUAUCCCCAGACUGAAGGCACCACUUCUAUUUUGUUUUUUAUUUUUUUAAUGACACAUUCCAAAUCUGAGAAUAAAUGAAGCAGUUCUAAACAAGUUCUACUCCCAAGCUGUUAGCCCAGAAUCUGCACAAUUGUUUGAGAAAAAAAUAUAAAUGGGAUCAUUUUUGUUCAAAGUGGUCAAAAAAGAAAGGAAGCAUGGAAUUAUCAAUUAUCUUCUACUGGAAGCAAAUGAAGAAGUUUGUUGUUCCUAUUCAUUUUAUUUCUGUCUUUAGGCCUGGGCCAUCUUCUCACAGGCUAGGAGGAGUGAGAUUUUUCUACAUCUUAGCCAUAAGUCAGUGUGGUAGACAUUUGCUGCUUUUGCCCAUCCAACAUCUGUCUCUUCUUUCUCUGCUCUUCUGUUCUUCUGGAAACAGCUUUCAGUUUUUUUGAGUGUGGUUGACCAACUCCCGAUCUAGAAGUAGGCGUUCGACCCAUUAGUCUCUCCCAUUCAGAAGAUCAUACACUUAUGAUCACAGUAAUUGGUUCAUGGAUGUUUGAAUACUUUCAAGAGCAUAAGGCAUUCCUAACAGAGGUUAGACAGGAUUCAGGCUUGGUUGAUUCAGGAUCCAGGUUCUUUGCACCUCCCUUCAAUGCUGGUUUCUUUCUCAGGUAGGUAGCAAGAUGGCUGCAGCAGAUCCAGCACUCACCUCCAGACAGGGCAAUGUUCAGGAGAAAGAGAAAAUGCGUUGUUAACACUCUGCUUUAGGAACAAGACACUUUGCCCAAAACCCCUCAUCUGUCCUGAAGAACUCUAACCACACCUUACUGGGCAGACCUAAAUUGCAUAUGCAUUCCCGAAAUCACUGUGAAUGUCGAUGAGAUAUGUCAACCUGGCCCAUCUUCAGAACUGGAGAUGCCUCAUUCCCCCAAGGCAAUGGUGGUUUUUGAGAGAAGUGGAUACCUGGACAAACCCGGAGUUUGUUGAGUGUAUCAGAGGCGAUUAGUGACCUGCCCUUAUUGUCUUGUUGUGCACUGUUUCUGGUGCACACUGGUAACUUCCUACUGCAAGUAUCUGUGACUCUCUUUCUGAGGAAUUUCUCUGGCUAUGGGAGCUUGCAUGGUCUGCUUGGAGUAGGCUGAAAAGUGCUGAGGAAUUAAUGUUCCUGGAAGGAGCCCUCAGUUGGUGAUAGAUGAGAACUGAAGGACAGUACCGCAGCUUCCUUGUCCCUUGGUGGAAAAACUCUAAGUUAUGUUCUACUCCAUUUCACACAGGUUCCCAGUGGUAUGGAGUUCCAGUUGCCCACAGAGAUGAUUUGCUCAUUAAUAUAGUCUGUGUUGGCUUCUUUUCUUUCCUGGAUCACUUCCUCACACGCUUACCAGUAUUUCCUGGUAUCACCUCUCAACCAAACAACUUGUACCCAAGUCCUUGCUGGAGGGUCUGCUACUGAGGGAGCUCAACCAAAGUUGGUAGGAGGAAGAAGGGGGAAAGAGUUCUGUGUAGGAAAUGAACAGUGUCCUCUACUGGCACAUGUCCUCUACUGGCACAUUCAGGAGCCACUUGUAAAACUUCCCAGGGUUUGUAUUUAUCGGUCUGCCAACUACAGCCUCCCAAAAUGAAUCCAAAACUAAGAUUGAGCCUCAACAUUCCCAAACAUAUUUAUAAACCUGAAAACUUUCUGAUGAAAUGCAAAAUUGUAGGCUUUCUGCAAACUUGAUGCAUGUAAUUAGUAGACAUAAAGUCUUCUGAAUAAACUUAUGAGGCUUUAUUUAGCUAGAAUGUGUCAGAUUGAACAUUUUAAAAUACAUGUUUUCUUUCCAGUAUACCUGUCUUUCCCCGCAGAUGUUGAUUUCUUGAGGAUUUUGGUUAUUUGAAAUUUGGAUUGUUUUCCUAAAUCUGCUUUGUAGAGAUGUGGGAGAUUAUUUAGUGUGGAAUAAUAUAUUUUUUGAAAAUUUAUUUAUUCGCAUAAAGUCUUUAGCUCAUUAGUUUAUAAUAUUCUUGGAGUUAUUAUUUUAAAACUUGUGGUUCAAAGGGGAUAUAACAACUAGAUGGAUAGGAAAAAUUGAAAGCUUGAUUUUUCCUCAGCUAAAAUUGGAAACCAGAACUUUAUCACUCCUAUUUUUACAGAUGCCAUGUGGCGGGAACCUUGGCCAACUGGGAUGUGGGUGGCUGAGUCUUUCUUCAGCUUCUUACUGGAAACUGUGGCGUUUUCUUGACAGCAGUAAUAAAUCAGACAUCCACAGGAAGCAAAGAGAUCAUUGAAAUGAAACAUAAGCUGUAAAAUGUUCUGCCUCAUAUUAUGACAGCCCUUUCCUUGGUGGGCUCUCUCUUUGGACCCAUUAGAGAAACAGAUCUCCAAUUUACAGGAGGAUGCAUAAAUUGGAGAUGUAAAAAUUACUAGAUUUUAUGGAAAUAUUGAUUUGUUCACAGUGCACACAGGUCUAAGUUAACUUAAAGAGCACAUCCCAUAAACUCUAUUAAGCCUAACUUGUCUUAGGCUAUUACAAAUCUGUGUAUUGUUGGACUUUCUGAAUUUAUAUUUUUGACUUUCUUUAAUGUGAGCAUCCUUCAACAGGUAUCAUAAACAUUCAAAAGGGAUUUACUGUAGUCAUAGGAACAAAAUGACUAUUCUGAGAAUUUCAUUCUGGCAAACUGAAUGAUGUACUGCUAGUUAUAUAUGUCUAUUGAACCAUGACUCUUUCCAUAGGAAAACUCUGAGAUUACUAUCAUCAGAGUCACCAUAUCCAUAACCAACUGAAUGCUUCUGAUGUAUUUUAAUCUGGUUUUGUUGAUAGUGAUAAAACACUGGCUUGGCUCUAUUUGGACUGAGUAAUUUAAAAAUAUUUUACAUUGAUGAAAUCAUAUUUUAAUAAUAAAGUUAAUUAAAUAUAUUGACUUUUUCCCAAGUUUAGAGGCAGCAACUAUUUCACAAAGAGGAAAAAAUGUUGUCAAUACUUACAUAAGAUUAUUUAAUUUCAGUUGAUUCUUGUACGAAGAACUAUAGAAAUAGUUGAUCUUUCUUCUUUUUUCGAAUUAAAAUGAGCAGCCUCUGAUUUUCCCUCCAUUCCUCUCAGGGCCAUCUCAACCAGCUUGUUGAAACCAGAAUGCACUUGAGGAGGCCAAAUAUCUCCAUAUAAUAGUGGUUGCAUAACCAAUGAAAAUGAAAUAUUUUAAAAAUCAAAUGGGCAGAAUGAUUCCCUUAGUUGUGGCACUCUUUUAAGCAUAAUCACACCGGAAAAUAGAUUAGAAUGGAGUUGUGAAAAUUUUGAAGUACCACACAUUCAUUAUUGUUACCACCAUUGUACACCCACAUAUUGACUUAAACAAAAUAUUAUUUCUUAAAUUUGAGGCAUAAACACUAUUCCACUUACUGGCUUGAAUUUAGGAUUUUUGAGCUUGUUUAAUGUGUUUAAAGAUUUCUUAGUGUUUUUACAUAAUUCAUUGCUAUUGUUAAGUAAAAUCACCAUAAUUCCACAGUAGUAUACCCCUACAAUAUUUCAGAACUUGUUUUAGACAAAGAGAAUACAUCUCUUGUUAUUCAUAACCCCUACCCCACUUAUAGAGAUCUAGGAAGUAGAAAUCUAGGGGACACUACUGCUGGAAUACCCAGCAUUUAUCCCCAUCACUUUCCCCUCUGAUAGAACCAUAAUUCUAAUUAGUCAACUGCUUUUUCUCUGCACUGCUUGGAAAGUGACUCCCAUCUUGACCUCCAGUGAUGUAAUCUGAUUAUUUUAAGCCAGUUGUAGUAAUUCUUACAACUAUGAUUGGUUCAGGAACUAAGGCAAAAAAUUUCUGUCUUUUGAAAAGCAAUUGCAACAAAAGCAAAAAUUGACAAAUGGGAUCUAAUUAAAUGAAAGAGCUUCUGCACAGCAAAAGAAACUAUCAACACAGAACACAGACAACCUACAGAAUGCGAGAAAAUGUUUGCAAACUAUGCAUGUGACAAAGUUCUCAUAUCCAGCAUCUAUAUGAUACCCUAACAAAUUUACAAGAGAAAAACCAACAGCCCCAUUAAAAAGUGGGCAAAGCACACGAACAGACACUUCUCAAAAGAAGACAUACAUGCAGCCAGCAAGCAUAUGAAAAAAAGCUCAAUAUCAUGGACCAUUAGAGAAAUGUAAAUCAAAACCACAGUGACACCAUCUGACACCAAUCAGAAUGACUACUAUUAAAAAGUCAAAAAAUAACAGAUGCUAGUGAGGUUGUGGAGAAAAAGGAAUGCCUAUACACUGUUGGUGGCAGUGUAAAUUACUUCAACCAUUGUGGAAAACAGUGUGCUGAUUCCUCAAAGACCUAAAAACAGAACUACCAUUUGACCCAGCAAUCCCAUUACUUGGUAAAUACCCAAAGAAAUAUAAAUCGUUCUGUCAUAAAGACACGUGUGUGUUUGUGUUCAUUGCGGCACUAUUCACAAUAGCAAAUUCGUGGAAUCAACCUAAAAGUCCAUUAGUGGUAGGCUGGAUAGAGAAAAUGGGACAUGUAUACACCAUGGAAUACUAUGCAGCCAUAAAAAUGAAUGAGAUCAUGUUCUUUGCAGGAACAUGGAUGGAGGUGGAGGCCAUUAUUCUUAGCAAACUAACACAAGAACAGAAAAACCAAAUACCAUGAGUUCUCACUUAUAAGUGGGAGCUAAAUGAUGAGAACACAUGGACACAUAGAGGAGAACAACAGGCACUGGGGCCUACUGGAGGGUGAAGUUUGGGAGGAGGGAGAGAAUCAGGAAAAACAACAAAUGGGUAUGAAACUUAAUACCUGGGUGAUGAAAUAAUCUGUACAACAAACCCCCAUGACAUAAUAUAUAAUCUAUACAUCAAACCUGCACUAUAUAACAAAACUAGCCCUGAACUUAAAACAAAAGUUUUAAAAAAAAUAAAUAUCUACCUUUAUCUUUAUUGGUAGUUGGGUUCACAUCAAAAGUGAUACAAUUAGAUAAUAAGGAAGAAAUUUUCUUCCGUGGUUGAAGAAGACUUUUUUUUCUUUCCAACUUGCUGAAUACAAAGCAGAAAGCCUGUUGUCCUAUUGCUAUUGGCCACUGGCUUGAGAAUUUCAGAAGGCUUAUUUCCUCAAUAAAAAAGUUUUCUCC
rnacentral:lncRNA from 1 species